rnacentral:rRNA from 1 species
GAUGAACGCUGGCGGCGUGCCUAAUACAUGCAAGUCGAGCGAACAGACGAGGAGCUUGCUCCUCUGACGUUAGCGGCGGACGGGUGAGUAACACGUGGAUAACCUACCUAUCAGACUGGGAUAACUUCGGGAAACCGGAUCUAAUACCGGAUAAUAUAUUGAACCGCAUGGUUCAAUAGUGAAAUACGGUUUUUCUGUCACUAAUAGCUGGAUCCGCGCGGCAUUAGCUAGUUGGUAAGGUAACGGCUUACCAAGGCAACGAUGGGUAGACGACCGGAGAGGGUGAUCGCCCACACUGGAAGUGAGACAGGGCCCAGACUCCGGCGGGAGGCAGCAGUAGGGAAUCUUCCGGAAUGGGCGAAAGCCUGACGGAGCAACGCCGCGUGAGUGAUGACGGUGUUCGGAUCGUAAAACUCUGUUAUUAGGGAAGAACAAAUGUGUAAGUAACCAUGCACGUCUUGACGGUACCUGAUCAGAAAGCCACGGCUAACUACGUG